CAGGAUCUGAGGCACAGUUCUGCGGUCCCACACAUCAGUAGAUCCGUGUGUGUCAGAAGUUGCAGUUGGUUUUUCAUACUUGGUGAUCUCUCCUAAAUUUGGAUAUGCAGAAUCAUUAGAUUAACUCUCUCAGAUUAUCAGCUCAAGCUAUUAAGUAGAGGUUGAAAAUGAAGAUGAGCAAGCCAAUCAAGUUAAUAAAAGGUCAACCAUGAAAGGAAAAUAGCCCUAAAGAUCAUAUGGAUGUGUUGGGAGACCACCCGUUCAAGCAGGUGGCCAAAUUGGCCAAAAUAGCCCCAUCUGUGCCUAAUCUUCUUUGGAUCUGCUCUAGAUCUUCUCAAGCAGAUCAAGAGCACGGUAGCAUUUUUGUAAAUUAGGGCAAACAUGAAUAUGGGGUUAAAUAGGGGUUUUCAUCUCAUUUCCACCAUUAUUGAACAUUAUUGUACUACUCUUGAGCUAAGAAGACAUUAGAGUGACUCUCAAGUGAAGAAUUAGGGAUUUUAUUGAAGUUUUAUUGAAACUAAAGCUUGGAUUUAACAUUCUCUUUAUUUUAUAUGGAUUAAUUUGAUGGAAAUUUGGGUAUA